AUCGCUUCUCGGCCUUUUGGCUAAGAUCAAGUGUAAUAUCUGUUCUUAUCAGAUCUGUUCUUGUAUCUUGUCAAUUGACAGAGACUGUGGUCACUCCGA
rfam:Oryzias latipes DNA, scaffold2951, strain: Hd-rR.